AUUGAACGCUGGCGGCAUGCCUUACACAUGUAAGUCGAACGGUAACGCGGGGCAACCUGGCGACGAGUGGCGAACGGGUGAGUAAUGCAUCGGAACGUGCCCAGUUGUGGGGGAUAACUGCUCGAAAGAGCAGCUAAUACCGCAUACGACCUGAGGGUGAAAGCGGGGGAUCGCAAGACCUCGCGCAAUUGGAGCGGCCGAUGUCGGAUUAGCUAGUUGGUGGGGUAAAGGCCCACCAAGGCAACGAUCCGUAGCUGGUCUGAGAGGACGACCAGCCACACUGGGACUGAGACACGGCCCAGACUCCUACGGGAGGCAGCAGUGGGGAAUUUUGGACAAUGGACGCAAGUCUGAUCCAGCCAUGCCGCGUGCGGGAAGAAGGCCUUCGGGUUGUAAACCGCUUUUGUCAGGGAAGAAAUCUUCUGGGUUAAUACCUCGGGAGGAUGACGGUACCUGAAGAAUAAGCACCGGCUAACUACGUGCCAGCAGCCGCAGUAACAC
rnacentral:rRNA from 1 species